rnacentral:rRNA from 1 species
AUACGUAGGGAGCGAGCGUUGUCCGGAAUUACUGGGUGUAAAGGGAGCGUAGGCGGGAGUGCAAGUCAGAUGUGAAAUGCAUGGGCUUAACCCAUGAGUUGCAUUUGAAACUGCAUUUCUUGAGUGAAGUAGAGGUAAGCGGAAUUCCUGGUGUAGCGGUGAAAUGCGUAGAUAUCAGGAGGAACACCGGUGGCGAAGGCGGCUUACUGGGCUUUUACUGACGCUGAGGCUCGAAAGCGUGGGGAGCAAACAGGAUUAGAUACCCUGGUAGUCCACGCUGUAAACGAUGAUUACUAGGUGUGGGGGGACUGACCCCUUCCGUGCCGCAGUUAACACAAUAAGUAAUCCACCUGGGGAGUACGGCCGCAAGGUUGAAACUCAAAUGAAUUGACGGGG